UGGCCGUAAACGAUGUGGACUUGGUGUUGGAAUGGCUCCGAGCUGCUCCAGUGCCGAAGGGAAGCUGUUAAGUCCACCGCCUGGGAGGUACGGUCGCAAGACUGAAACUUAAAGGAUUGGCGGGGGAGCACCACAACGCGUGGAGCCUGCGGUUUAAUUGGAUUCAACGCCGGACAUCUCACCAGGGGGCGACAGCAGAAUGAUGGCCAGGUUGAUGACCUUGCUUGACAAGCUGAGAGGAGGUGCAUGGCGUGUGACUGU
rnacentral:rRNA from 1 species